UACAUGGUCACGGUUAUCGUGGACUGUGUUCCGGGAAAAAAGUGGGGCGGGCACUCUCGUGUUUCAACUCCACUAUACUAUUAAUAGUUGUGGUGUGUACUUACAGCCUCUACGAUAAGCAAGUGAAUGGGGCCGGUGCAUGGCGAACGGAACAGUUCAUCAAGCCAUUUCUCGCCGUGACCCCCAAAAUAGGAAGAGAGGUACUUUACAAAUAGGGGCUAAUUGCUUCGCACCUGACUGCCCUCUCGAUACCUUCUCAGAGCUUUGUAACUUGUGGCCGGGUCGCUGUUUUUCCAGUGCGCGGAGCCCCAGGUGUUAGUGGUUUCUCAUUGAGUCAAUAAUACUAAUCCCUCUUUUUUGUGCUCCUAGGGCGGGAAGAAGAAAAGAAAACGCAAAGCGUUCUCUUGCUUUCCCAACCUCUGGCUUCUAAAGGCUGCCCUCUCUUGGCUGGAGCUAAAAAUCGACAUCCCUUUCUUUGGCAAAGAAAGAGAGAGAGAGAAAGAGCGAGAGCGAGGAUGGUGAAGGAUAUGGAGAGAGAUGAUUGGGAAUCCUGUAAACACGAAAAGGGAUCAGUGGGGAAAAAAAAGGGAUGGAUCAAUGAUUUUUCAGUCCCUUCUGCAAUUAUAGAAGCAAGGAACAGGUUGAGAGGAGAAAAAAAGGCGGAGAGGAGAUCUUUGAGAGAGACGUUAGGAGCCCUGUGAAAGGGUCUCUUUUGCAGCACUGAAAGCAACAAACAGAGGGAGAGGAGCAGCAAACAACCUGAAUUAGGCUAACCUGGUCUCCUCCAACUUGGGUCAAGUUCCUCCAACGUAAAAUUCUAGGAGGAAGAGAAGGACAUGAUGUAUAUGAUGCUCGUGCUACUCUAAAAGAACUGAAGCUAUUUACAGACUCUGCUGAGAGGUUAAUGGUAGUGAAACUGUCGAGAUGCUUGGUAAAUGCUGUUGUGGUUGUGAUGUGUGUUUUAUGCAGGGUUGAUAUCCAGACCAAAUUUGAAGGAGAAGAAGAGAAGGAGAAUGUGGGAAGGCUAUCGAAAUGUUUCUCAAUAUCUCUUAAUUAGUUCUGCUCCAGUUCUGUUGAUGGCUCUGCUCUAAUUCUGUUAGCGUACAACCAACCUCACAACAUUCAAACUUUCCAAAUUCACAAGCCCGAUUCAAGGAAGGAGAUCCGCGGGGAAGAGUUGUAGCUGCUCCCUAGGUCGCGAACACACAAAUCCACAACUAGACAGGCAAGACAAAUGAGUAACGUGUUCCUGAUGGUGGAGAUGGUGGCGUUAAUUCUGUCGUAAAGACUGCAACAACCCGCCAUCUAUUGGCCAGGCCUAUUAGAUCGACCAGCGUCUUAUGGUUUUGGGUGAGUCAAUCUGAGUUUUUAUUCAAGAAAAGCUUGACUUUUUCUCUACUGUCAGUCCAAUCUGUAGCUAAGUUGGAUAUGGCAUGGAUAUGAUCUAUCAUAAAGCUUAAAUAACCUUUUCUCUUUUUAUUCAUGAUGUUUAUUUAGCAGGGAGGCAUUCGAGUCUGGUGAUUGUUCAUUUCUGAUAUACAUCUCUUUUAUGCCAGGAUGGCAGUAACUUUGUUUGCCAUGUAGUCUUUUUUUAUUAGUUUAGGAAUCUUCACGAAUUGAAUAUUUGACUAAUUGCCAACAGAAGGUCUAAAAUCACAAAUGCACAAUUGUUGAUUGAAGAUAAGUGUUCGAUGCAUAGUGACCGGCACUUUCACUCCAAGCAGGCAAUGCCCCCUCGUACUCAAGUUGGCAGUAAUUACAAGCAUAUUCCAAUAGCAUCUUCCUUUGUUGAAGUUCAGCCUCUGGAUGUAAAGCACUUGAUGCCUGUGCAUGGAAUUGAAUUUCAACCCUCUAAGAUUUGUCCAGAGGAUUUCAUUGAAGAAUGUGAUGAGGAAGAGGUCAGCAUUGCACACGCACAUGGAAAUUAAUGAAGCAACUCCCCUGAUUCUUGCUCCAGUUAUGCUUCAAAACCUAUGAAAAAUAGAUUUUAUGUUUGGAAGUACUCUAGCAGUGUUUACUGCUGUCACAGUUGAAGGAAACAACGGAAAAUAAAUAAAACUAAAACUACUUAUAUCACCC